UGGGGAAUAUUGGACAAUGGAGGAAACUCUGAUCCAGCAAUUCUGUGUGUGUGAAGAAGGUUUUAGGACUGUAAAACACUUUUAGUAGGGAAGAAAAAAAUGACGGUACCUACAGAAGAAGCAACGGCUAAAUACGUGCCAGCAGCCGCGGUAAUACGUAUGUUGCGAGCGUUAUCCGGAAUUAUUGGGCUUAAAGGGCAUCUAGGCGGUAAGACAAGUUGAAGGUGAAAACCUGUGGCUCAACCAUAGGCUUGCCUACAAAACUGUUGAACUAGAGUACUGGAAAGGUGGGUGGAACUACACGAGUAGAGGUCAAAUUCGUAGAUAUGUGUAGGAAUGCCGAUGAUGAAGAUAACUCACUGGACAGAAACUGACGCUGAAGUGCGAAAGCUAGGGGAGCAAACAGG
rnacentral:rRNA from 1 species